UGAGCGGAUCGAGUUGUAUAAUGCACAUACCACAACUAUCGUUGUUGUGGUGACUCAGGCAGGUUCCUGAAGCUACUAUUUUAGUAAAAUAUUUGAUGUGCUAAAACAAUAAUGUGGGAGAGAAGUCGUUUCUCCAAUGAAAAAUAAUAGGUUUGUUUAUGGUGGUCAAGCGCAGUUUUUUAAUGGUGAGACCCGUUGGGAACCAAGGCAUUGCAGCAAUGGUGUUGUUGACAGUGUUGGUGAGAAUUGUGAUGCCUCACAGGUCUUUGGGCAAUAAGAUAAAUGAAGCAUAUGCUGAUGAAAAAGGACAUAUCUGCCAAAGAACAAGGCAGCUUGUUUUGAUGCCCUUGAGAGUUUGCCAGCCUUCUUAAAUUAUGUGUGCUUAAUUGCUUUUGUUACUAUUUGGCCCGAUGCCAAAAUUUAGUCAAGGUUAUGUUUUAUUUUCCCCCGGUUCAUAUUUGGAGACUAAAAGAGCAAAUAUUUGAGUUGCCAAUUUGAUAUGCGGAAU